rnacentral:rRNA from 1 species
UACGGAGGGUGCAAGCGUUGUUCGGAAUUACUGGGCGUAAAGGGCGUGUAGGCGGCUAAUCAAGUCAGAUGUGAAAGCCCUGGGCUUAACUCAGGAAGUGCAUCUGAAACUGAUGGGCUAGAGUACAGGAGAGGAAGGUGGAAUUCCUGGUGUAGGGGUGAAAUUCGUAGAUAUCGGGAAGAACACCGGUGGCGAAGGCGGCCUUCUGGCUUGAUACUGACGCUGAGACGCGAAAGCGUGGGGAG